GAUGAACGCUGGCGGCGUGCCUAAUACAUGCAAGUCGAGCGAACAGAUAAGGAGCUUGCUCCUUUGACGUUAGCGGCGGACGGGUGAGUAACACGUGGGUAACCUACCUAUAAGACUGGGAUAACUUCGGGAAACCGGAGCUAAUACCGGAUAACAUUUGGAACCGCAUGGUUCUAAAGUGAAAGAUGGUUUUGCUAUCACUUAUAGAUGGACCCGCGCCGUAUUAGCUAGUUGGUAAGGUAACGGCUUACCAAGGCGACGAUACGUAGCCGACCUGAGAGGGUGAUCGGCCACACUGGAACUGAGACACGGUCCAGACUCCUACGGGAGGCAGCAGUCGGGAAUCUUCCGCAAUGGGCGAGAGCCUGACGGAGCAACGCCGCGUGAGUGAUGAAGGGGUUCGGCUCGGAAAACUCUGUUAUUAGUGAAGAACAAACGUGUAAGUAACUGUGCACGUCGUGACGGUACCUAAUCAGAAAGCCACGGCUAACUACGUG
rnacentral:rRNA from 1 species